rnacentral:lncRNA from 1 species
GCACAAGGGCGAGCUGGAGCACUAGUGGAGUUGGCGGGAAAGGCACGGCUGCGGGCGCCCCCUGUCCGCACGGAGGAGCCGAAGUCCCGCAGGGUGGGGUCCCCGCCUGCGCCGAGAGGGCCACCUGGUCGAGAGAACAGGCGACACGGAAACCUGAGAAACUCCUCUGUCUGGUGCACCUAACCCUCUUCCUCAUAAAGUGCACACGAACUCUGGUUUUUCCGUUGCAAAUUUUGCUUUCUACAUAGACCAUACCAUUCGUUGCUCUCUGAGGAUGAGGUAACUUCUCUGAGCUUAGCUGACAUGAGCAUUGGCAGAAAUGCUUCUCGUAAUCUGGAUAACUUACGUUAGAAUUAGUAAGCAGUUAUUUUUCAUAGCCUGAAACGUCCUGUUGUGAUAUUUCAGCUCCUGGCUUCCCAGUCCAGCAGAAGUAUCUACAUCUAUUUCUGGAAAGGACCUGAACUUGGCUUCUCGUCCUUCUGGAAAGUGAGGCGAAAAUGCCAGGCUGCGCAGCUAUCCUGAGGCCCGGCCUGGAACCUGGCUAGCCACCCAGUCCUGAUACCUCAUCUCCUUUCUGUUGGAUAAAGUCAUUGGAUAAGAUCCCCCAGGGUCUUCUUAAUACUGAACAUCUGUUCAUAAUCACAUAAGUGACCAAGUAUAGUGGAAAACCCGAAUGGUCAACUGAGCUGAGCAGUGGGAGAGAGCGCAGGGUGAGCUCACCUACACCUGAGCAAGAAGCCGGGGCUAAAUACGUGGAAAUCACUGAGAUGGAUUUUGAUACAGGGCAGAAAGAAGAGUAAAAUCAUCUCAUAUUACUUUCCACCUGAAGCUCUGAGCCGAAAGAGUUAUUUGCUCAAACACUCUGAAAUGGGGAGGGACAGAGCUCUGACCCCUCCGUCCAGGCCUGUUUGUUGUUUUUUUUUUUUGUUUGUUUUGUUUUUUUUUUUUUGUGAGACGGAGUUUCAUUCUUGUUGCCCAGGCUGGAGUGCCAUGGCGCGAUCUCGGCUCACCGCAAACUCCGCCUCCUGGGUUCAAGCGAUUCUCCUGCCUCAGCCUCCGGAGUAGCUGGGAUUACAGGCAUGCGCCACCAUGCCCGGCUAAUUUUUUUUUUUUUUUUUUUUUUUUUAGUAGAGACGGGGUUUCUCCAUGUUGAUCAUGCUGGUCUCAAACUCCAGAUCUCAGGCCCGCCUCGGCCUCCCAAAGUGCUGGGAUUACAGGCGUGAGCCACCGCGCUCGCCCCGUCAGGACUCUUUCUUGAGGUUUUGUCUUCUGUUCCUUGGUAGGAAAUUAUGUUUGAAACUUUAAUCAAAUAAUAGCAUUGUCUUAUUUGGUGAUAAUUGGAACAUAACUAAUAACUGGGUUUCUUUGGCUCACGAUACGUAUGAGGUUUUUUGCUGCCAUUUUAACAAUUAUUUUAAAUUUUCAAAUUUGGAUGUUUUCCAGUUCAGUUUUUUGGGUUUUUUGUUUGUUUGUUUUUUGAGAUGGAGUCUCGCUCUGUCGCCGAGGCUGGAUGCAGUGGCACGAUUUUGGCUCCCCGCAACCUCCACCUCCUGGGUUCAAGCAAUUCUCCUGCCUCAGCCUCCCGAGUAGCUGGGACCACAGGCACGUGGCACCACUCUCAGCUAAUUUUUUGUGUUUUUACUAGAGACGGUGUUUCACCGUGUUAGCCAGGAUGGUCUCAAUCUCCUGAACUCGCGAUCUGCCUGCCUUGGCCUCCCAAAGUGCUGGGAUUACAGGUGUGAGCCACCUAUCCCGGCCCCAGUUCAGUUAUUUUUAAAUGUAAUCCAUUGUCUGUAAAUACUCUCUUAGUAGAAUUUUCAGCAGAAAUUCUGAAAACCUGCAUUCUUAUUGUGCUAGCUGUAACCUGAGACUUCAUAACUUAGAGGUUUAACUUAUUGGUAUGGCUGUGUGCGACAAAUAGACAAAAGCACAAUUGCCCUGCUCCCUGGGGUGUGAUCAGCCACCGCUGUAGUACUGCCUGGAGGUGACUGUGCAUAUUUUAAGUGAACAUAUACAGCGGCAUUCAUGUUUUACUAAUGCUCAAAGAUGACUGGAAAUUCAAUGAAGGAAUUUCAUUGAGAAGUACAAUUGUAAUUUUGUACAAGUGUGAUUUUUUUUUUAUAACAAAUCUGGUACAUCUUUUUCUUAGGCUUACCUCAUCCUUUAAGUAUUUGAGGAACUGGUGAACAAGUUAACUACUUUGAUAGUAAACGAGGAAAUUUCUUUAUAGAGAAAAGCAAAAUGUGGCCCAGCAGGUAUGUGAAAAAUGGCUGAUGUGACUAGAACUAAGGAAACAAAUGGUUAAGAUAAUAUUAGACAAAAGUAAUGGAAAUUUUUUUUUUUUGGAAAACAGUAUGGAGGGUCCUCAAAAAAUUAAAAAUGGAACUUCCAUGUGAACCAGCCAUCCCACUUCUGGGUAUAUACCCAAAGAAAAUGAAAUUGGUAUCUAGAAGAGAUACCUGCACUCCCAUGUUUAUUGCAGCAUUAUUUACAGUAGCUAAGGUCAGGAAAUGACCUAGGUGUCCAGCAACAGAUGAAUGGAUCUUUUUUUUCUUUGGAAACAGAGUCUUACUCUGUUGCUCAGGCUGGAGCGCAGUGGUGCGAUCUCGGCACACUGCAACCUCCACCUCCUGGGUUCAAGCAAUCCUCCUGCCUCAGCCUCCCAAGUAGCUGGAAGUUCAGGCAGGCACCACCAUGCCCGGCUAAUUUUUGUAUUUUCGGUAGAGACGAGGUUUCACCAUGUUGGCCAGGCUGGUCUUGAACUCCUGACCUCAGGUUAUCUGCCCACCUCAGCCUUCCAAAGUGCUAGGAUUACAGGUGUGAGCCACC